rnacentral:rRNA from 1 species
UACGAAGGGGGCUAGCGUUGUUCGGAAUUACUGGGCGUAAAGCGCGCGCAGGCGGUCUUCCAAGUCAGUGGUGAAAGCCCGGAGCUCAACUCCGGAACUGCCAUUGAAACUGUGAGACUUGAGGAUGAGAGAGGUGAGUGGAAUUCCCAGUGUAGAGGUGAAAUUCGUAGAUAUUGGGAAGAACACCGGUGGCGAAGGCGGGCUCACUGGCUCAUAUCUGACGCUCAGGCGCGACAGCGUGGGGAUCAAACAGG